ensembl:lncRNA
UACAGAGGAAGACACUAUUAACAAUCCUCCACCAAAGUAUCUUGGGUAUGUAUGCAUGUAAAAUGCCAGAAUGACAUAGAGCUUAAGAGCAUGAGUUUUAGAGGCAGGACCUGAGUUCGCAUCUUACCUCUACCACUUAUAUAGGCUGGGUAAGUUACUAACCUUCUUUGUUCCUCAGUCUCCUCAUUGGUGAAAUGGAUAGAAUAGUGUACCUACUGCAUUCAAAAAUAUGGCUUUGUCUGUACUUUAGCUUUUUUAUUCCCUAACCAAAUGGCCUUCAGUAUGGGCAGCACAACCUGAUAGGAUUUCAAUCAAGGAGGCUCUUUGGACCUGUACCUCGAAUAGAAUUGUGGCUCUUUGUCUCGUGUCCCCCAUGCUACCCAUACCCUCAGGGCAGUUCAUUUCAGUUAAUGCUCCUUCAAUCUGGCUGCUAGGUAUAAUUUGGGAUUCAUUGAAUUGUUGACAUGGUUGACCUGGGCCAGUGUGAUUCAAGGUUAAUAGGACUAAAAGUCAAAAUGAAAAAGAAGUUCUAUGGAAUACAAAAAGGCAAUCAUAGAAGAACUAUUCCAGACCAGUGGAGUUAAUGAAAAGCUAUCUGUCUUCUGUCAGUCACACCAAAAUUCUAAAGAUCAGUAUAUUUAACCAGUCUGAAAUAAUGGUUAAAGUCGAGAUGGGAGAAAGUUUUGCAAAAGGAGAUUGAUAGCCAAAAAUCAAUGAUCCAAAUUUUAUGAUUGGUAAGGAAGGGUGGUCGGGGAGAGACAAUUAUUUAAAUAAAAGAGCACUUUAUUUUUGGCAACCUUAAAAAUACUAAAACUUCUGAAGAUUAUUUAAUAUAGGACCCUAAAAAUUAAAAAAAAAAAGUUAUCUGAGGGUAACAGAAUCAAAAAGCACUCUUAGAGUUUUCUGUGAGUAAACUAUCGUAAAAAAAGUCACAUAUAGCUCCUCAUAUAUUGCAGUAUAUUUCUUCUAAAUAUUGUAUAUUUAAAUUAUGGUGGGCAGGAGGAGACUUUUAAGAAAACAUUCCAACAGAAAUUUAUCUGGACCACUGAUACUUGAUAAAACCAAGUUACAAUGUGCCAAGACGAAUGUUUGAACAGAAUCAUCCCGGUGGUGAUGUCUAUGUGUGAGUGGGGAAGCAACUGCAACUUAGAGUUGAAGAGAGAAACAUUUAGUAAGUGAGGAGAAGAUAAAGACAAGAAAGAUAAAUUAACCCACGAGUUAGAAGCUCUGAGUACUUCUCCCAACUCUGUGGAUGAAUCUCCAGAUUUUAGUCUCUCAUUUAUCAUUAUAAAUAAAAGAUAUGAAUUAUAGAUGUCUAGAGGUCUUAAUCACUCUAGUGUUUCCUUCUUCUCUGCUUCUUGGACUGCCAUAUUAUUUGAGGUGGCAAACUACAAAAUGGCAAAUUUCAGUCAGAGGUUGCAGAAAUCAGCCAUUCAUGAAAAUGCAUUUCUUUUCAGCAGACCACUGGAAUCCCCACACUACCAUGACACAGAUAGACAGGGUACAACCUCGGAGAUUUAGGAGCCUCCGGAUCCAGUUCUGCACAUGUUCUCCCAGGAAUGUGCUCACUAGGACCUGCAGCUGCUCACAAUAUAGCCCCUUUCCUCUCUUAUCAGUCCCAGCACUUCCACAGCUGGCCCUCGUUAUUGACCUGGUGGCCAAGGAGGGCAGUGAAGAGGAUACUACAUCGUCUUCAAGCAAGCGGAGAGAACUGAACUUUAACAGAGAGGAUUGGGCCACUUUUUCAGGCUCAGAGGGUUAAGGGGAAUCUGAGAAUUCAAGAUUUUUGAGAGUAUCAACCCAGAUUUCCCCAAACCAUGUUUCAGGAUCCCACUUCUCCAAAUAGCCCUGCCUUUGGCAUAGAAAACUUGCCAAAUUUGAGAACUCAGCCUCUUCUGUGGUUCUGCUACUUUUUUUUCCCUGCUUUUUCUCCCCAAAUCCCCCCAGUACAUAGUUGUAUAUUUUUAGUUGUGGGUCCUUCUAGUUGUGGUAUGUGGGACGCUGCCUCAGCAUGGCCUGAUGAGCGGUGCUGUGUCCAUGCCCAGGAUCUGAACUGGUGAAACUCCGGGCUGCUGAAGCAGAGUGUGUGAACUUAACCACUUGGCCAUGGGGCUGGCCCCUCUGCUACUUUUAUAAUGAAGUUCCGGGACCUGAUCCUCAGCUUUUUGGAGAUGAGAAUCUCUCUAUAUGCCACCAAAGAAAACCUCUGGUUUUCACACUUACAUUUUUUUUGUUUGGGGGGGUGGUGGUGAGGAAGAUUGGCUCUGUGCUAAUGUGUGUGCCAGUCUUCCUCUAUUUUGUAUGUGGGACGCUGCCACAGCAUGGCUUGAUGAGUGGUGUGUAAGUCCACACCCGGGAUCCUAACCUGCAAACCCUGGGCCCCUAAAGCAGAGUACAUGAACUUAACCAUUACACCACUGGGCUGGCCCCUCACACUCACUUUUUAAUUGGUGAUUAAACAUCCUCAGUUUUCAUUAUCUUCUCCAAUGUAUUGAUUGCCUCCAGUUAUAGUCAUCCAAUUCUUUAGUCAUUAUAAUUGCUAUUUCUCCCUUGCUCUAUCUACUACUGCAUUAACCACCACCCUCCAAAAAAAAUAUUGGUGUAAAACAACAACAAUUUUGGUAUAUUUGCAGAUUCUGCAGUACAGAAAUUUGAACAUGGCACAGUAGGGAGGAAUUGCUUUCCUCUGCUUCAUGAUGUCUGGGAUAUAUAAGCUGGGAAGAAACAAAUUUCUUGGGGUUACUCAACGGACUGAGAGCUGAAUUUAUCUGAAAGAAUCAUUCUUAACUGGGGUGAUUUUGUCUCCAGGGAACAAGCAAUAUCAAAGACAUUUUUCUUUGUCACAACUGGGGGAAAGGAAGUGCUGCUGGUAUCUAGUGGAUAGAGGCCAGAGAUUCUGCUAAACAUCCUACAACAUAUAGGACAGUCCCCCACGAUGAAGAAUUACCUGGCUUCAAAGGUGAAUAGUAAUGAGGUUGAGAAAUGCUGGUCUGCAGUCUUCUUCCAUCAUAUAUUGAGUACUUGGGUUAGGAUAACCCAAAAGCUAGGCUCAUCUGGGACCCCUCCACAUGGCAGGCUUCCUUAAAGCAUGCCAACCUCAGGGUAGUUGAGUUUUUACAUGGGGGUACAAAGUUUCAAGAGUAAACAAGCCUGUCACUGAACUGUACACUUUAAAUAAUUAAAAUGGUAAAGAAAAUAAAAUAAAAAUCUAUUGUUUGAAAAAAGAGUAAAUAACGAUAGAAAAAGCUAUGUGGCCUUUUUAUGAUGUGUUCUCGUAAAACACAUAGAUUCACUUCCGCUAUAAUCUAUUGGUCAAAGCAGUCAAAAUUCAUUCAAAUUCGUGUGGACCUACUACUUAAUAAUGAGAAUAUAAAAAAUCUACAGCCAUGUUCUAGAGAUACCACACCCCAUAUCUCUUGUUUUCGUUGUUAGUGCUGUGGAGUCAUUCUGACUCCCAGCGACCCUGGGUACAACAGAAUGGAACCCUGCCUGGUCUUUUUGCACCAUUCUCUCACCUUCCCAUGUUAUAUCAGACAAUGCUCCACUGCUAUUCAUACAGUUUUCAUGACCAAUUUUUUCUGAAGUGUGUGGCCAUGUCCUGCUUCUUAGUCUCUUAGUCUGGUAGCUCCACUGAAACCAUCCACUAUGGGUGACACUGCUGAUAUUUGAAAUAUAACUGGCAUAGCUUUUGGCAUCACAGCAACAUGCAGUUGCCACAGUAUGACAACAAACAGACAGGUGGUGUGGUUCCCUGACCAGGAAAUGAACCCAGGCCACAGUGAUGAGAGCACUGAAUCUUAACCACUAGACCAUCAAUAUCUAUACCAAUAUGUCUUGUACACCUGAGAUAUUACACUUCUCAGUGCAUUUUCUCCUACCAGUAUCAUAUCCCAGUUCCCUACCAAUGAAACAUUAUUAAUAGCAUUUCCACAGCAUGUCAGGAACUACUUAUCUUCCACCCAUCCCCAACGAUGGAGUUCUCAUUGCUAUUCAACUCUGGAGGUGGGGGUGGGUUAUCCAUCUUCAAAAUGUCACUUUAGAGUCUACUUCUUAG